UGAGGAAUAUUGGUCAAUGGGCGGGAGCCUGAACCAGCCAAGUCGCGUGAAGGAAGAAGGAUCUAUGGUUCGUAAACUUCUUUUGCAGGGGAAUAAAGUGCAGGACGUGUCCUGUUUUGUAUGUACCCUGAGAAUAAGGAUCGGCUAACUCCGUG
rnacentral:rRNA from 1 species